UACGUAGGGGGCAUGCGUUGUCCGGAAUCAUUGGGCGUAAAGCGCGUGUAGGCGGCUGGUUACGUCCGCUCUGAAAGCCCGGGGCUCAACCCCGGGAGGCGGGUGGAUACUGCUCAGCUCGAGGCCGGAAGAGGAGUGUGGAAUUCCUGGUGUAGCGGUGAAAUGCGCAGAUAUCAGGAGGAACACCAAUGGCGAAGGCGCCACUCUGGGCCGAAACUGACGCUGAGGAGCGAAAGCGUGGGUAGCAAACAGG
rnacentral:rRNA from 1 species